CAAUAGCGUAUAUUAAAGUUGUUGCAGUUAAAAAGCUCGUAGUUGGAUUUGUGGCGUACGGUGUGUUCCGGGCACUUGUUGUCUGAGUAACCUGCUGUUGCCAUCCUUGGGUGGAACCUGGGUGGCAUUAGGUUGUCGUGCAGGGGAUGCCCAUCAUUUACUGUGAAAAAAUUAGAGUGUUCAAAGCAGGCUUAUGCCGUUGAAUAUAUUAGCAUGGAAUAAUGAGAUAGGACUUUUUUGCUAUUUUGUUGGUUUGCGCAAAGAGGUAAUGAUUAAUAGGGACAGUUGGGGGUAUUCGUAUUCCAUAGUCAGAGGUGAAAUUCUUGGAUUUUUGGAAGACGAACUACUGCGAAAGCAUUUACCAAGGAUGUUUUCAUUAA
rnacentral:rRNA from 1 species